CGUAGGCGGAUUAGAAAGUUGGGGGUGAAAUCCCAGGGCUCAACCCUGGAACUGCCUCCAAAACUACUAGUCUAGAGUUCGAGAGAGGUGAGUGGAAUUCCGAGUGUAGAGGUGAAAUUCGUAGAUAUUCGGAGGAACACCAGUGGCGAAGGCGGCUCACUGGCUCGAUACUGACGCUGAGGUGCGAAAGUGUGGGGAGCAAACA
rnacentral:rRNA from 1 species